rnacentral:ncRNA from 1 species
UAAUAUCAUCAGGAGCGGUUUCGUAUUUGAAACCCACCAACCGAGCCCAGAUAAAUCAUGGUCACGGUGGUUAGAGCCUUAAACGCUAGAUGCGCCCAGGAAAAUGGGAAACAUGAUUAGCCGCCU